GGGGGGGGGGGGGAGACGAAAUCAGAGGUUACGAGGCGGGCAGGGAGCCACCUGCCUCUUUUCACGAGAUUGAAGCCGGUGGACCAGCAACUGGGCUCCUUCCGACGUUGAGGGGAGAAGGCCAUCUUUGGAGCGUUGCAAAUGGAGGAUUGCUUUUUUCCCGGCAUUUGCACAGCUCUCUCGAGUUCCGGACGGUUUUAACUGAUCGGGAAAACAAAGACCCGCCAUAGAGGAGCGGGAAGAGCCAGGGAAAAGAUCCAGUGAGGAGAAAGGAGGAACGGGAGGGGUCGUCGACACACGCCUUGCGGCGAUUUUCCCGGCUUUGGAGACCCGCCGCGGCCACUUACCAUAGUUGCUGCUUUGUCGCCGAGCUUGGGGAACUCGAGCCGGAGAGAGGCGGGUGCUUUCUUACAGCGCGACUCUUAGGCGGUCGAUGUAAGAGAACCUGUAGCACAUAGUCUAAGGCGGCUGCCUAUAUACAAUCCCGUCACCAUAGGGACGGCCAAGGCUUUUUGCGGUUGGUCGAGACCCCCCAAUCUGCCAGGAGAAGGCACGAGAGGAGAACGGCGAUUGGCUCCGGGCGCAUAGGAUGAGCUGAAUUCCAGAUUGGGUGUUGAAAAACGGAUGGACGUUGCUCUCCUGUCCUCAAAAGGGCGAAUACGGGAUAAACAAGGCUGCUCUGGGGCAGGGGAAGCAAAACAAGGCUUCCUUUCCCGCUUCCUUUCUCUUCGCGCGUUUUUUCCCCACCCUUGGCUCGCUUACUGGGCUGGGCUGUGGGAUUCUGCACCAUCUCUGCUAAUUUUGUUACUACAUCCCUUUCUCUUGUGUGCGUAAAAUGAGAAGCCUUUACUCCCAGUGUUUGAAAGACUGAUUUAACAGUCAUGAAUUACAAUGAAGUACCGACCUUUUAAAAAAAAUAUUGGUGUGCUACUAUGAAAGACGUUGUGUUGUAAGUAAAUUAUUACUUCCUGAUCCUAUUCUGCAUUUAAACUUGCUUGUGACAUUAUAUAUAUUUGACCCGGCUUAAAGCUUCACUAACUCUUAAAUCCCCCUGCAGUCAAUUUAUAUGGAUUGCCAGCUUCUGCCAGACUUUCUCUUCUUUUAACAGCAGCAAUUUAUGGAGGAAAUAUUUGGAAUUUUUGGGAGGGUAAUCAAAGAUAUGAUAAAGGAAAUUUCAGACUGGAUUUCUGCAUACCAUUAUAAGCUUGCUAAUUUUAUUCCUAAUUCUUUUUAUAAUCUCAGUUUAUUGUCUCGGGAAAUUGACACUUGUAAAAAAACAAAGCAGCACUUGAAAACAACAUAAAUUACUAUUAAAAUCUCAGAGAGUUCUAUUUCACCUUUCAAUGUUAUCAAAUACCCACAUUUAAUAGAAAUAUAUCUUAUUUCCCUAUAUAAGGAUUUAGGAAAUAUGCUAAAUAUUAUGAAAACAAUGCCAGCACCUUGCUCCAUGAAAGAAAGAAAAAAAAUCUCAAAUCUAU
rnacentral:lncRNA from 1 species